rnacentral:rRNA from 1 species
GCUUACGGCCACACCGCCUGGUUCCACGCCCGAUCUGGUUUUUUCUCGGAAGUUAAGAUAGGUUGGGCCUGGUUAGUACUUGGAUGGGAGACCGCCUGGGAAUACCAGGUGCUGUAAGCU